rnacentral:rRNA from 1 species
AAAUUGAAGAGUUUGAUCAUGGCUCAGAUUGAACGCUGGCGGCAGGCCUAACACAUGCAAGUCGAACGGUAACAGGAAGCAGCUUGCUGCUUUGCUGACGAGUGGCGGACGGGUGAGUAAUGUCUGGGAAACUGCCUGAUGGAGGGGGAUAACUACUGGAAACGGUGGCUAAUACCGCAUAAUGUCGCAAGACCAAAGAGGGGGACCUUCGGGCCUCUUGCCAUCAGAUGUGCCCAGAUGGGAUUAGCUUGUUGGUGAGGUAACGGCUCACCAAGGCGACGAUCCCUAGCUGGUCUGAGAGGAUGACCAGCCACACUGGAACUGAGACACGGUCCAGACUCCUACGGGAGGCAGCAGUGGGGAAUAUUGCACAAUGGGCGCAAGCCUGAUGCAGCCAUGCCGCGUGUAUGAAGAAGGCCUUCGGGUUGUAAAGUACUUUCAGCGGGGAGGAAGGUGUUGUGGUUAAUAACCACAGCAAUUGACGUUACCCGCAGAAGAAGCACCGGCUAACUCCGUGCCAGCAGCCGCGGUAAUACGGAGGGUGCAAGCGUUAAUCGGAAUUACUGGGCGUAAAGCGCACGCAGGCGGUCUGUCAAGUCGGAUGUGAAAUCCCCGGGCUCAACCUGGGAACUGCAUUCGAAACUGGCAGGCUUGAGUCUUGUAGAGGGGGGUAGAAUUCCAGGUGUAGCGGUGAAAUGCGUAGAGAUCUGGAGGAAUACCGGUGGCGAAGGCGGCCCCCUGGACAAAGACUGACGCUCAGGUGCGAAAGCGUGGGGAGCAAACAGGAUUAGAUACCCUGGUAGUCCACGCCGUAAACGAUGUCUACUUGGAGGUUGUGCCCUUGAGGCGUGGCUUCCGGAGCUAACGCGUUAAGUAGACCGCCUGGGGAGUACGGCCGCAAGGUUAAAACUCAAAUGAAUUGACGGGGGCCCGCACAAGCGGUGGAGCAUGUGGUUUAAUUCGAUGCAACGCGAAGAACCUUACCUGGUCUUGACAUCCACAGAACUUUCCAGAGAUGGAUUGGUGCCUUCGGGAACUGUGAGACAGGUGCUGCAUGGCUGUCGUCAGCUCGUGUUGUGAAAUGUUGGGUUAAGUCCCGCAACGAGCGCAACCCUUAUCCUUUGUUGCCAGCGAUUAGGUCGGGAACUCAAAGGAGACUGCCAGUGAUAAACUGGAGGAAGGUGGGGAUGACGUCAAGUCAUCAUGGCCCUUACGACCAGGGCUACACACGUGCUACAAUGGCGCAUACAAAGAGAAGCGACCUCGCGAGAGCAAGCGGACCUCAUAAAGUGCGUCGUAGUCCGGAUUGGAGUCUGCAACUCGACUCCAUGAAGUCGGAAUCGCUAGUAAUCGUGGAUCAGAAUGCCACGGUGAAUACGUUCCCGGGCCUUGUACACACCGCCCGUCACACCAUGGGAGUGGGUUGCAAAAGAAGUAGGUAGCUUAACCUUCGGGAGGGCGCUUACCACUUUGUGAUUCAUGACUGGGGUGAAGUCGUAACAAGGUAACCGUAGGGGAACCUGCGGUUGGAUCACCUCCUUA